UAUACAUGCAGUCGAGCGGACAGAUGGGAGCUUGCUCCCUGAUGUUAGCGGCGGACGGGUGAGUAACACGUGGGUAACCUGCCUGUAAGACUGGGAUAACUCCGGGAAACCGGGGCUAAUACCGGAUGGUUGUUUGAACCGCAUGGUUCAAACAUAAAAGGUGGCUUCGGCUACCACUUACAGAUGGACCCGCGGCGCAUUAGCUAGUUGGUGAGGUAACGGCUCACCAAGGCAACGAUGCGUAGCCGACCUGAGAGGGUGAUCGGCCACACUGGGACUGAGACACGGCCCAGACUCCUACGGGAGGCAGCAGUAGGGAAUCUUCCGCAAUGGACGAAAGUCUGACGGAGCAACGCCGCGUGAGUGAUGAAGGUUUUCGGAUCGUAAAGCUCUGUUGUUAGGGAAGAACAAGUACCGUUCGAAUAGGGCGGUACCUUGACGGUACCUAACCAGAAAGCCACGGCUAACUACGUGCCAGCAGCCGCGGUAAUACGUAGGUGGCAAGCGUUGUCCGGAAUUAUUGGGCGUAAAGGGCUCGCAGGCGGUUUCUUAAGUCUGAUGUGAAAGCCCCCGGCUCAACCGGGGAGGGUCAUUGGAAACUGGGGAACUUGAGUGCAGAAGAGGAGAGUGGAAUUCCACGUGUAGCGGUGAAAUGCGUAGAGAUGUGGAGGAACACCAGUGGCGAAGGCGACUCUCUGGUCUGUAACUGACGCUGAGGAGCGAAAGCGUGGGGAGCGAACAGGAUUAGAUACCC
rnacentral:rRNA from 2 species